UUUGAGCCUUUCCUUUCACAUCGCCUCCCUCCCCAUCUUCUACCUUUUGUAGCCAGUCCUUUGCCAAUUCAGAUCUACUAUCUUAUCUUGUUCUUCCUCUUACUUAUUUUACCAAUUCUGCUUAAAUUCAAUUUUCUUUUACGUUUUUCCUCUUCUAAUUGAAUCUGAUCCUUUUUUACUAUUCAAUCUGAUUUUUUUCUUUUACAAUUCAUCUCUUAAUUUUACAGAUCGACUCCCUUCUCAUCUUUUUUCUCUUAUUGUUUACGAUUCAUUUUGAUUAUUAUAUAAAUUAUCUCUUUAGUUUUGUUCUCUUUAAUUUACUUAUUUGAUGACAUUUUUCUUGCGACGUACUGAACAAUAUUAAUUUCUAUCACAUUAAUUGCAUUUGAUCCUUUCGAAUAUCUACCACUUUACAAAUGAUGUUUGAUGAUGUUGGUUUUUAUAAUUUAUUUUGGUUUUCUAACGGGUUUACUGCAUCCAAGGGGUUUCCAAUAUGUUUUCCUUCAGCUGCCAUCUCGUUUACCAUUUAUGGUGCUCCUAUCAGUUAUACUCCAUCUACUAGUUGGUCUAAUAUUUAUUGGAUUUGGUUUGGUAUCUGUUCGAUCUAUGGUGUUGCGGUAUUCUUUCAUAAAGAUAUCCAAGAAGCCACCCGAUCAGCGGUUGUCUCCUAUAUGUUAUCACUGGGAAUGAAGGGUUGAAACUUGCAAAUAGGUAUGUACACUGAUUUCCUCCCUGACCUACAAGCUCUGCACCAUUCUUCAUUUGAUUCCUCUUGUGAUGCUUCAAGAUGGUCUAUCAUUCUUUAUUACCAACCAAAUCUUUUGGUCCCACUUGUCGUUCUUCAAGAUUGGUUACCAGUAGAGGUGGUUCUUUAUUGCCAUCCAAGUCAUCAACAUCGACCAUUAUUCCAUCAAAUAAAUCUGCGUUGAGAGGGAUCACUGUUGGAACUUGGUCUUUGAAAUUUACUUCAAGGGGUGGUGGGGCUGCUGAUUUUUAGGUGGUGGCAAAGAGUCAUUUAUAAUAUUAUUAUUUAGAUGUA